AGUGGCGGACGGGCGAGUAACGCGUGAGUAACCUGCCCAUAAGAGGGGGAUAAUCCUUGGAAACGAGGACUAAUACCGCAUAUUGAAAUUUUAUGGCAUCAUAGAAUUUUGAAAGAUUUAUCGCUUAUGGAUGGACUCGCGUCAGAUUAGCUAGUUGGUGAGGUAACGGCUCACCAAGGCGACGAUCUGUAGCCGAACUGAGAGGUUGAUCGGCCGCAUUGGGACUGAGACACGGCCCAGACUCCUACGGGAGGCAGCAGUGGGGAAUAUUGCGCAAUGGGGGAAACCCUGACGCAGCAACGCCGCGUGCAGGAAGAAGGUCUUCGGAUUGUAAACUGUUGUCGCAGGGGAAGAAGACAGUGACGGUACCCUGUGAGAAAGUCACGGCUAACUACGUGCCAGCAGCCGCGGUAAUACGUAGGUGACAAGCGUUGUCCGGAUUUACUGGGUGUAAAGGGCGCGUAGGCGGGAUAGCAAGUCAGUCGUGAAAUGCCGAGGCUUAACCUCGGAGCUGCGAUUGAAACUGUUAUUCUU
rnacentral:rRNA from 1 species